rnacentral:hammerhead_ribozyme from 1 species
AUCCAGCCGAAGAGUCCCGAAUAGGACGAAACGCGCAUCAAACUGUAU